rnacentral:rRNA from 1 species
UACGUAGGGGGCUAGCGUUGUCCGGAAUCAUUGGGCGUAAAGCGCGCGUAGGCGGUCAGGUAAGUCCGGUGUGAAAGUCAAAGGCUCAACCUUUGAAUGCCGCUGGAUACUGCUUGACUUGAGUCCGGAAGGGGCGAAUGGAAUUCCCGGUGUAGCGGUGAAAUGCGCAGAUAUCGGGAAGAACACCCGUGGCGAAGGCGGUUCUCUGGGACGGUACUGACGCUGAGACGCGAAAGCGUGGGGAGCAAACAGG